CCAUACCUAAACAUAGUAAAAGCCAAAUACAGCAAACCAGUCUGUAACAUUAAACUAAAUGGAGAGACACUUGAAGCAAUCCCACUAAAAUCAGGGACUAGACAAGGAUGCCCACUCUCUCCCUACUUAUUCAAUAUAGUUCUUGAAGUUCUAGCCAGAGCAAUCAGAGAACAAACGGAGAUCAAGGGGAUACAGAUCGGAAAAGAAGAAGUCAAAAUAUCACUAUUUGCAGGUGAUAUGAUAGUAUAUUUAAGUGAUCCCAAAAGUUCCACCAGAGAACUACUAAAGCUGAUAAACAACUUCAGCAAAGUGGCUGGUAUAAAAUUAACUCAAAUAAAUCAGUAGCCUUUCUCUACACAAAAGAGAAACAAGCCGAGAAAGAAAUUAGGGAAACAACACCCUUCAUAAUAGACCCAAACAAUAUAAAGUACCUCGGUGUGACUUUAACCAAGCAAGUAAAUGAUCUGUACAAUAAGAACUUCAAGACUCUGAAGAAAGAAAUUGAAGAA
rnacentral:lncRNA from 1 species